rnacentral:miRNA from 1 species
GUUAACAACUUGUAACAACCUUGUUGCUAUUAUCAGACUUGUUGCAAGGUUGUUCCAACAAGUCCAAUACAAUCAUGAUAUAACAAUAUUGUUACAACCUUGUGUCGUCAACCUUUCGGCAACAUUCUUGUUACAUCAUGCAUGAAUGUAUCACACUUAUUAGAACAACCUUGUAACAAGUCUGAUAAUGCCAUCAAGCUUGUUGCAGGUUGUUAAC